UUCAGACUUUAUUUUAAUUUUGUCUGGAAAUGCAGUGCAUGUAUACUGACACAUUGUUCAAGUUUGAUGGUAUUUUACACAAUCUGUGACUUGUUCUCCUCUUCCAUCCUACAUCCAUCGCCCUGCUAGCAAUUGCCAGAUUCAAGGGUCACAUAAGCGUUACCGUGUUUUCAGUUCCAUUUUGACUGGAUCACUGAAAACGAUUUAUGAGAACCAGAAUCUUUAAUUUAAUAAAAACACUACCAUGUCCAAAGAGAGUUUAAAAUCCCACGCUAACUAAAGUCUAAACAAACAAAGCAGAGCCUGGCAUUGUUGUACAAAGGUCCCAACAAAAAGUCCAUGUAAAGUUUCAUUAUCAUUUCCAUUUGUUGGCUGGUGUUCACUCAUUGAGCAGCCUAGUUAACGACCAAAAUAACCGCUUGAAUAUUGACCACCACAUCAAAUAGUAGGAGACAUCUGAACAUGGAAGAUGCAAGAAUCUCCUUGCAAAACUUUAAAACUUUAAAAUAAAACAUCCACAAAAAAUAUUUAGUCCUCACGCCACAUCCUUGAGCACUUCUCAUUCAAGCAAAAGUAAAAUGUUGUUGCUGGCUCAUCAGCUGACCGGAUCUGUAGCUGUUGGUAACGGGCCCUUCCAAAGUUGCAAUGUGGGCAUGUUGCUUCAGUUUCAGAACCCCCCUUCGUCAUGUCGUCGAGGGUGAAAACUGGCUCAAUUUCUUUCUUGACCAGCUGUUGCUUUCUCUUGAUCUUAACCUGAAAAUAAAGGAGAACGGCCAUGAGCAUUCCUUCAAUCCCCAACUCCCCAAGAAAAAAAAAAUUAAUUAAAUAUAAGAAAAGGAUUGGCUAAUUGAUAUAUGUCAAUACUCAAUACCCUGCUCUCCAUGGAGCAGACGUACGGACAAGUAGGGCAAUAGAAUCUGGAAGGCUGCCCCAUGUUUGGCAACUCGUAUCGCAACAAUAAUCCACACGAUGGGCAAAAUUCCAUUCCUUUCUCAAAUCUACCUCUGCAUCAAUCCACACAAAAAUUUAUUGGUCUGUAUAAAAGAUAAUCAUCAAUUAAGUGAAAUCAUGGUUACAGGGGUACAAAAAUAGCAAUUUUUCCCCAGAUAAAGUCCAGGCCAAAUCGUUUAAUCAGAUCGACAGAGAAAACCUCAACCUGAG
rnacentral:misc_RNA from 1 species